GCCGGUCUAGCUGAGUUGGUUCAAGCGUCUGAUUCGUAAUCAGAAGUAGGCGAGUUCGAUUCUCGUGUCCGGCU
rfam:Candidatus Marinimicrobia bacterium TMED80 69338, whole genome shotgun sequence.